rnacentral:rRNA from 1 species
UACAGAGGUCCCAAGCGUUGUUCGGAAUCACUGGGUUUAAAGGGUGCGUAGGUGGCGCGUUUAAGUCCGUUGUGAAAUCCCUGGGCUCAACCCAGGAAUUGCUUCGGAUACUGGCGUGCUUGAGGCCGGUAGGGGUCACUGGAACUGACGGUGGAGCGGUGAAAUGCGUAGAUAUCGUCAGGAACGCCGAUGGUGAAGACAGGUGACUGGGCCGGAACUGACACUGAGGCACGAAAGCGUGGGGAGCGAACGGG